rnacentral:rRNA from 1 species
CAAUAGCGUAUAUUUAAGUUGCUGCAGUUAAAAAGCUCGUAGUUGGAUUUCGGGUGGGAAUGGCCGGUCCGCCGUUUCGGUGUGCACUUGCUACGCCCACCUUGCUGCCGGGGACGUGCUCUUGAGUUCACGCUCGGGACACGGAGUCGGCGAGGUUACUUUGAGUAAAUUAGAGUGUUCCAAGCAGGCCUACGCUCUGAAUACAUUAGCAUGGAAUAACACGAUAGGACUCUGGCCUAUCUUGUUGGUCUGUAGGACCGGAGUAAUGAUUAAGAGGGACAGUCGGGGGCAUUCGUAUUUCAUUGUCAGAGGUGAAAUUCUUGGAUUUAUGAAAGACGAACUACUGCGAAAGCAUUUGCCAAGGAUGUUUUCAUUAA